rnacentral:rRNA from 1 species
ACUCAAAGGAAUUGACGGGGGCCCGCACAAGCGGUGGAUCAUGUGGUUUAAUUCGAUGCAACGCGAAGAACCUUACCUACUUUUGACAUGUACUGGAAGACUCGUAGAAAUACGGUCGCCCGCAAGGGCCGGUACACAGGUGCUGCAUGGCUGUCGUCAGCUCGUGUCGUGAGAUGUUGGGUUAAGUCCCGCAACGAGCGCAACCCUUGCCUUUAGUUGCCAGCAUUUAGUUGGGCACUCUAAAGGGACUGCCGACGUUAAGUCGGAGGAAGGUGGGGAUGACGUCAAGUCCUCAUGGCCCUUAUAAGUAGGGCUACACACGUGAUACAAUGGCAACUACAAAGAGCAGCAAAACCGCAAGGUGAAGCCAAUCUCAUAAAAGUUGUCUAAGUUAGGAUUGGAGUCUGCAACUCGACUCCAUGAAUGCGGAAUCGCUAGUAAUCGCGGAUCAGAACGCCGCGGUGAAUACGUUCCCGGGCCUUGCACACACCGCCCGU